GACGAACCAUCCAAACGUUAUUCGGAAUUACUGGGCUUAAAGGGUGCGUAGGCUGCGCAGAAAGUUGGGUGUGAAAUCCCUGGGCUCAACCCAGGAACUGCGUCCGAUACUGGUUGGCUUGAAUCCGGGAGAGGGAUGUGGAAUUCCAGGUGUAGCGGUGAAAUGCGUAGAUAUCUGGAGGAACACCGGUGGCGAAGGCGACAUCCUGGACCGGUAUUGACGCUGAGGCGCGAAAGCCAGGGGAGCAAACGGG
rnacentral:rRNA from 1 species